CCUACGGGAGGCUGCAGUGAGGAAUAUUGGUCAAUGGCCGAGAGUCUGAACCAGCCAAGUAGCGUGAAGGAUGACUGCCCUAUGCGUUGUAAACUUCUUUUAUAAAGGAAUAAAACGAGGCACGUGUGCCUUUUUGCAUGUACUUUAUGAAUAAGGAUCGGCUAACUCCGUGCCAGCAGCCGCGGUAAUACGGAGGAUCCGAGCGUUAUCCGGAUUUAUUGGGUUUAAAGGGAGCGUAGAUGGGUUGUUAAGUCAGGUGUGAAAGUGUGCGGCUCAACCGUAAAAUUGCCAUUGAUACUGGGAGUCUUGAGUACAGUUGAGGUAGGCGGAAUGCGUGGUGUAGCGGUGAAAUGCUUAGAUAUCACGAAGAACCCCGAUUGCGAAGGCAGCUUACUGAACUGUGACUGACAUUGAUGCUCGAAAGUGUGGGUAUCAAACAGGAUUAGAUACCCUUGUAGUC
rnacentral:rRNA from 1 species